rnacentral:rRNA from 1 species
AAUGGGGGAAACCCUGAUCCAUCCAUGCCGCGUGGGUGAGGAAGGCCUUAGGGUCGUAAAGCUCUUUCGCCUGUGAUGAUAAUGACAGUAGCAGGUAAAGAAACCCCGGCUAACUCCGUGCCAGCAGCCGCGGUAAUACGGAGGGGGUUAGCGUUGUUCGGAAUUACUGGGCGUAAAGCGCGCGUAGGCGGACUGAAAGUUGGGGGGUGAAAUCCCGGGGCUCAACCCCGGAACUGCCUCCAAAACUGCCAGUCUAGAGUUCGAGAGAGGUGAGUGGAAUUCCAAGUGUAGAGGUGAAAUUCGUAGAUAUUUGGAAGAACACCAGUGGCGAAGGCGGCUCACUGGCUCGAUACUGACGCUGAGGUGCGAAAGUGUGGGGAGCAAACAGGAUUAGAUACCCUGGUAGUCCACACCGUAAACGAUGAAUGCCAGUCGUCGGGUAGUAUACUAUUCGGUGACACACCUAACGGAUUAAGCAUUCCCCCUGGGGAGUACGGUCGCAAGAUUAAAACUCAAAGGAAUUGACGGGGGCCCGCACAAGCGGUGGAGCAGGUGGUUUAAUUCG